GUUCCCAUGAAGCGGCUACCAAAGCUGUUCUCCAGGAGUUUGGUAGAAUCGACAUUCUGGUCAACAAUGGUGGAAUGUCCCAGCGUUCUCUGUGCAUGGAUACCAGCUUGGAUGUCUACAGAAAGCUAAUAGAGCUUAACUACUUAGGGACGGUGUCCUUGACAAAAUGUGUGCUGCCUCACAUGAUCGAGAGGAAGCAAGGAAAGAUUGUUACUGUGAAUAGCAUCCUGGGUAUCAUAUCUGUACCUCUUUCCAUUGGAUACUGUGCUAGCAAGCAUGCUCUCCGGGACCUGUGCAAUCAAAUAUUGUGGAAAAUUCCCUAACUGGAGAAGUCACAAAGACUAUAGGCAAUAAUGGAGACCAGUCCCACAAGAUGACAACCAGUCGUUGUGUGCGGCUGAUGUUAAUCAGCAUGGCCAAUGAUUUGAAAGAAGUUUGGAUCUCAGAACA
rnacentral:sRNA from 1 species